UACAGAGGUCCCAAGCGUUGUCCGGAAUCACUGGGCGUAAAGGGCGCGUAGGCGGCUUGAUAAGCGUGCGGUGAAAGCCCGGGGCUCAACCCCGGGUCGGCCGUGCGAACUGUCGAGCUGGAGCACUGUAGAGGCAGGUGGAAUUCCGGGUGUAGCGGUGGAAUGCGUAGAGAUCCGGAAGAACACCGGUGGCGAAGGCGGCCUGCUGGGCAGUGGCUGACGCUGAGGCGCGACAGCGUGGGGAGCAAACAGG
rnacentral:rRNA from 1 species